ACAUCAGGCAGCACAGAGGCAGUGUAGCCAUGACAGUCUUGAGGACCGAGGACUUGGGGGCUAGCUCUCUGUGAGCCUGCCAUGCUCCCAAUGUCCGUCUUCCCUGUGGGCCACUCCACACUCAGAUUCCCAGGGAAGACAGUCUGAUGGCCUGCGUGCUCCCCUGGAAUGUGGGUGGUGAUGACAGGAACUCAGAUAUGCCAGCCCGCCAGGCUCCUGUAGAACAGGAGAGGGACGCUCCUCAGAGGAGGUGAUGCCCAGUACAAAAAUAACAGGUUCUCUGGAAUCCUCUUAGCAGGGCGUCAUUUCCAUAGAGGGGCAGACAGGAGGAAGCUGCAACCUUGGACUCGGCCACCACUCACUCUUAGGCAGCAAAUGUGUUUCAAUUAAAAAAAAAUGUUUUUUAACGUUUAUUUAUUUUGAGAGACAGACACAGAGUGUGAGAGGGAGUGGGGCAGAGAGAGAGGGAGACAUCGAAUCCGAAGCAGGAUCCAGGCCUGCUGUCAGCACAGAGCCCGACGCGGGGCUCGAACUCAUGAACCACAAGAUCGUGACCUGAGCUGAAGUUGGACGCUUAACCAACGGAGCCACCCAGGCUCUCCAAUGUGUUUUAAUUUUAAAAGAUUUUUCGCAAGGGUGGAAAACAAAGAGAAGAAAGGGAAGAAAGACGAAAUACCAAAAGCUCCUGGAAGGACCUUAAUAAGCCCCAAAUCAAAUAGGAAAACAUGGGUUACAGGUUGAAUUGUGUUCGCCCCAAAUAUAUGUUGAAGUCUUAACCCCCGGUGCCUCGGAAUGACCUUGUUUGGAAAUGGGGUUGUGGAAAAUGCAAUCAGUUCAGUUGAGAUGAGCUCACAGUGGAGUAGGUGGGCUCUUAGGCAAUACAUCUGGGGUCCUUAGAAGAGAUGCAGAGACAGAAACACACAGGAAGAAUGCCGGGGGGCAACGGGCAGAGACUGAAGUGUCACCGCUGUGAGACAAAGAACCCCGCGGAUUGCCAGCCAUCACUUGAAGCCAGGAAGAGAUGAGGCAGAUUCUCCCCUACAGGCUUCAGAGGGAGACUGGCUUUGCUGACGCCUCGAUUUUGGAUUUCUAGCUUCCAGAGCCGCGAGACAAUAAAAGUCUGUGUUUUAAGCCUC